rnacentral:rRNA from 1 species
GAUGAACGCUGGCGGCGUGCUUAACACAUGCAAGUCGAACGGAACUACUCCAAUGAGAGUCUUCGGAAAGGAUUUGGUUUAGUUUAGUGGCGGACGGGUGAGUAACGCGUGGGUAACCUGCCCUAUACAGGGGGAUAACAGUUGGAAACGACUGUUAAUACCGCAUAAGCACACAGGAGCGCAUGCUCCGGUGUGAAAAACUCCGGUGGUAUAGGAUGGACCCGCGUCUGAUUAGCUGGUUGGCGGGGUAACGGCCCACCAAGGCGACGAUCAGUAGCCGGCCUGAGAGGGUGAACGGCCACAUUGGGACUGAGACACGGCCCAAACUCCUACGGGAGGCAGCAGUGGGGAAUAUUGCACAAUGGGGGAAACCCUGAUGCAGCGACGCCGCGUGAGCGAAGAAGUAUCUCGGUAUGUAAAGCUCUAUCAGCAGGGAAGAAAAUGACGGUACCUGACUAAGAAGCCCCGGCUAACUACGUG